AAAAUGCCCACCCCCCACCAAGGCUCUGCAACACAAACACACACUGCAUAACACACACACACACACUGCACUCAUACACACACACUACAUUUAUGCACACACACUGCACUCAUACACAAACACUGCACUCAUACACACACUGCAUUCAUACACACUGCAUUCAUACACACACUGCACUCAUACACAAACACUGCAUUCAUACACACACACUGCAUUCAUACACACACACUGCAUUUAUACACACGCACUCAUACACACACUGCGCACUCAUACACACACACUGCAUUCAUACACACACACUGCAUUCAUACACACUCACUGCACUCAUACACACACACUGCACUCAUACACAAACACUGCAUUCAUACACACACUGCAUUCAUACACACACACUGCAUUCAUCAUAUACACA